rnacentral:siRNA from 1 species
UUUGCCCGAUGUGCUUUUUA